GAUGAACGCUGGCGGCGUGCCUAAUACAUGCAAGUCGAGCGAACAGACGAGGAGCUUGCUCCUCUGAUGUUAGCGGCGGACGGGUGAGUAACACGUGGAUAACCUACCUAUAAGACUGGGAUAACUUCGGGAAACCGGAGCUAAUACCGGAUAAUAUUUUGAACCGCAUGGUUCAAUAGUGAAAGACGGUCUUGCUGUCACUUAUAGAUGGAUCCGCGCUGCAUUAGCUAGUUGGUAAGGUAACGGCUUACCAAGGCAACGAUGCGUAGCCGACCUGAGAGGGUGAUCGGCCACACUGGAACUGAGACACGGUCCAGACUCCUACGGGAGGCAGCAGUAGGGAAUCUUCCGCAAUGGGCGAAAGCCUGACGGAGCAACGCCGCGUGAGUGAUGAAGGUCUUCGGAUCGUAAAACUCUGUUAUUAGGGAAGAACAAAUGUGUAAGUAACUGUGCACGUCUUGACGGUACCUAAUCAGAAAGCCACGGCUAACUACGUG
rnacentral:rRNA from 1 species